rnacentral:misc_RNA from 1 species
GCGGAGGAAAAGAAACCAACAGGGAUUGCCUCAGUAACGGCGAGUGAAGCGGCAACAGCUCAAAUUUGAAAUCUGGCCCCCUCGGGGUCCGAGUUGUAAUUUGUAGAAGAUGCUUCGGGUGUGGCCCCGGUCUAAGUUCCUUGGAACAGGACGUCACAGAGGGUGAGAAUCCCGUAUGUGACCGGUGGCCUCCCCCCGUGUGAAGCUCUUUCGACGAGUCGAGUUGUUUGGGAAUGCAGCUCAAAAUGGGUGGUAAAUUUCAUCUAAAGCUAAAUAUUGGCCAGAGACCGAUAGCGCACAAGUAGAGUGAUCGAAAGAUGAAAAGCACUUUGGAAAGAGGGUUAAACAGUACGUGAAAUUGUUGAAAGGGAAGCGCUUGCAACCAGACUUGCGCGCGGUCGAUCAUCCGGGGUUCUCCCCGGUGCACUCGGCCGUGCGCAGGCCAGCAUCGGUUUGGGCGGCCGGACAAAGGCCUCGGGAAUGUGGCUCCUUCGGGAGUGUUAUAGCCCGAGGUGCAAUGCGGCCAGCCCGGACCGAGGACCGCGCUUCGGCUAGGAUGCUGGCGUAAUGGUUGUAAGCGGCCCGUCUUGAAACACGGACCAAGGAGUCUAACAUCUAUGCGAGUGUUUGGGUGGCAAACCCAUCCGCGUAAUGAAAGUGAACGGAGGUGAGAACCCUUAAGGGCGCAU